rnacentral:misc_RNA from 1 species
UGCUAACAAAGAAUUUAACCCACCCAGCUACAAUAAAUUCAAGAAAAUAUGGGAUAUAUUAAUAGGCAGAUCCUCUAAAACGUUCAAAACAAAGCUUUAAGCACCAGAAGAAAAAAUGGUAAAUCUGAGGAAUGUGUUAACUGGAAAGCAAAAGGAAUAAGAAUUUAGAGAAAACACAGAUCCACAGAACAUCAGACCUUUGCAUUAAUCUUCAAGAGAAGAUUAGUCAAAUAUUGGUCAUUGACCCUUUGAGGGGCGGAGCACUGGGUGACAAUUCCAAAAUCAGCAAGAUUUUUCUUCUUCCAAGGA